rnacentral:rRNA from 1 species
CUACGGAACUCCUACGGGAGGCAGCAGUGGGGAAUUUUGGACAAUGGGGGCAACCCUGAUCCAGCAAUGCCGCGUGAGUGAAGAAGGCCUUCGGGUUGUAAAGCUCUUUUGUCAGGGAAGAAAUCGCAUGGAUUAAUAACCUGUGCGGAUGACGGUACCGGAAUAAGAAGCACCGGCUAACUACGUGCCAGCAGCCGCGGUAAUACGUAGGGUGCGAGCGUUAAUCGGAAUUACUGGGCGUAAAGCGUGCGCAGGCGGUUUUGUAAGACAGGCGUGAAAUCCCCGGGCUUAACCUGGGAACUGCGUUUGUGACUGCAAGGCUAGAGUACGGCAGAGGGGGGUGGAAUUCCACGUGUAGCAGUGAAAUGCGUAGAGAUGUGGAGGAACACCAAUGGCGAAGGCAGCCCCCUGGGUCGAUACUGACGCUCAUGCACGAAAGCGUGGGUAGCAAACAGGAUUAGAUACCCCUGUAGUCCUCUUCGA